rnacentral:rRNA from 1 species
CGAACGGGUGAGUAACGCGUGAGGAACCUGCCUCAAAGAGGGGGACAACAGUUGGAAACGACUGCUAAUACCGCAUAAGCCCACGGCUCGGCAUCGAGCAGGGGGAAAAGGAGUAAUCCGCUUUGAGAUGGCCUCGCGUCCGAUUAGCUAGUUGGUGAGGUAACGGCCCACCAAGGCGACGAUCAGUAGCCGACCUGAGAGGGUGACCGGCCACAUUGGGACUGAGACACGGCCCAA